rnacentral:rRNA from 1 species
CAGCAGCCGCGGGAAAACGUAGGGUGCAAGCGUUAAUCGGAAUUACUGGGCGUAAAGCGUGCGCAGGCGGUUUGUUAAGACAGAUGUGAAAUCCCCGGGCUCAACCUGGGAACUGCAUUUGUGACUGGCAAGCUAGAGUGUGGCAGAGGGGGGUGGAAUUCCGCGUGUAGCAGUGAAAUGCGUAGAUAUGCGGAGGAACACCGAUGGCGAAGGCAGCCCCCUGGGCCAACACUGACGCUCAUGCACGAAAGCGUGGGGAGCAAACAGGAUUAGAUACCCCCGUAGUCCCUGUCUCUUAUAA